ACGGAGACGGCGAGGAGCGCAGGAGCGGAGGCGGGAUCGAGAGCGAGGACAUGGUCAGGAGCGGGGCAUUGCGCGGGGCGAGCGGGCGAGCGUGGCUUGGAUCUUGAGGGGAGGGGAGGCUGCUGGGUGGUGCUUACGUCGGCGGCGGAGUGGGGGCGGGGCGGGCGNCGGGGCGGGGCGGGGGGAGGGCCGGGGGAGCUGACGGGAGUGGAGGGGGACGAAGCUCCCAGCACAGCCUGGCCGCGCGCCCCGCGUGCGUGACGUGACGUGAUGGACUCGUGCACAGCCACUUCGCCCGGAGCAGAAAUAGGUGGUGCCACGGCGACGAGCACACCGGCUCAAAAAAAAGAAAGGCGGGUGUGGAUUUUAUUCUUUUACUAAUGUGUCACAUAUGUCAUUGCUAAUGAUGGUGAUUCACACACUCCCCUCACCCCUCCCCGCGUCGUCUCCUCUAAGGCGAUAACCCUAGCCGUCGUCGUCGCGCCCCUCCCCCCCCCUCCAUCCCCUCCCCCNNNNNNNNNNNNNNNNNNNNNNNNNNNNNNNNNNNNNNNNNNNNNNNNNNNNNNNNNNNNNNNNNNNNNNNNNNNNNNNNNNNNNNNNNNNNNNNNNNNNNNNNNNNNNNNNNNNNNNNNNNNNNNNNNNNNNNNNNNNNNNNNNNNNNNNNNNNNNNNNNNNNNNNNNNNNNNNNNNNNNNNNNNNNNNNNNNNNNNNNNNNNNNNNNNNNNNNNNNNNNNNNNNNNNNNNNNNNNNNNNNNNNNNNNNNNNNNNNNNNNNNNNNNNNNNNNNNNNNNNNNNNNNNNNNNNNNNNNNNCCUCCCCCUCCGUCGCCGCCUGAGGUGUGCUCCGGUGAGCGCGCUCCACACCGAUGAAGGUGGCGGCGAGGAUCUGGCGGUUCCACAACACGCAGAGGGCCUCGGCAUCUCGGGUGGUGACCACGGGUGGCGUGUGCAAGGUGGACAUGGCGGCGGGGUCGCCUCUGUUGGUGCUAGUGUUGGGGCGCCCUUGGUCAUGCGGGUGACGAGGCGUCGGCGACCCUCGGUUGCUGGUGUGCACCACUCCCCGCAGGUUUGCCACCGCCGAGGAAGCCCACCCCCUCCACCUCGAUCUGCUCCUUCCAACACCGGAUCGGGGUCCUAGUGGCUUAGGUCGCUGCUCCCGGUUGCUGGUUGUGCGGAUCUCGUUUGGUGGGGGAACCCGUGCCGACGCGGCGGCCACACCAAAGGCGACGCCUUGGGCACCGUUCCCCUCAUUGGAGGUUGUGGUGUGGAUCCUCUCCCCCUCCUUUCGUCCCCUGCUAGGUGAAAACUUAGGUCCCCUGCUUUGGGUGGUGACGGCACGUCUGUGUCGUAUUUCUUCUGUUGGAAAUAUGCCCUNNNNNNNNNNNNNNNNNNNNNNNNNNNNNNNNNNNNNNNNNNNNNNNNNNNNNNNNNNNNNNNNNNNNNNNNNNNNNNNNNNNNNNNNNNNNNNNNNNNNNNNNNNNNNNNNNNNNNNNNNNNNNNNNNNNNNNNNNNNNNNNNNNNNNNNNNNNNNNNNNNNNNNNNNNNNNNNNNNNNNNNNNNNNNNNNNNNNNNNNNNNNNNNNNNNNNNNNNNNNNNNNNNNNNNNNNNNNNNNNNNNNNNNNNNNNNNNNNNNNNNNNNNNNNNNNNNNNNNNNNNNNNNNNNNNNNNNNNNNNNNNNNNNNNNNNNNNNNNNNNNNNNNNNNNNNNNNNNNNNNNNNNNNNNNNNNNGUCCCUAGCAAGCCUCUAGUUGGCUAGCUAGUUGAUCAAGGAUGGUCAAGGUUUUUUGACCAUAUGCAAGUGUUAUCACUUGAUAACUGGAUCACAUCAUUAGGAGAAUCAUGUGAUGGACUAGACCCAAACUAUAAACGUAGCAUAUGAUCGUGUCAUUUUGUUGCUAUCGUUUUCUGCGUGUCAAGUAUUUAUUCCUAUGACCAUGAGAUCAUAUAACUCACUGACACCGGAGGAAUACCUUGUGUGUAUCAAACGUCGGAACGUAACUGAGUGACUAUACAGGUGCUCUACAGGUAUCUCCGAAGGUGUCCGUUGAGUUAGUAUGGAUCAAGAAUGGGAUUUGUCACUCCGUGUGACGGAGAGGUAUCUCGGGGCCCACUUGGUAAUACAACAUCACAAACAAGUCUUGCAAGCAAUGUGACUAAGUGUAAGUCACGAGAUCUUGUAUUACGGAACGAGUAAAGGGAAUUGCUGGUAACGAGAUUGAAAUAGGUAUACGGAUACCGACGAUCGAAUCUCAGGCAAGUAACAUACCGAAUGACAAAGGGAAUGACAUACGGGAUUAUAUGAAUCCCUGGCAUUGAGGUUCAACCGAUAAGAUCUUCGGAGAAUAUGUAGGAUCCAAUAUGGGCAUACAGGAACCGCUAUUGGAUAUUGACCGAGGAGUGUCUCGGGUCAUGUCUACAUAGUUCUCGAACCCGCAGGGUUUGCACACUUAAGGUUCGAUGAUGUUUUAGUAUAGUUGAGUUAUAUGUGUGGUUGCCGAAUGUUGUUCGGAGUCCCGGAUGAGAUCACAGACAUCACGAGGGUUUCCGGAAUGGUCCGGAAACGAAGAAUGAUAUAUAGGAUGGUUUCAUUUGGUCACCAAAAAGUUUCGGGCAUUACCAGCAGUGUACAGGGAGUGACGAAUGGGUUCCGGGUAUUCACCGGGAGGGGCCCACCCACCCGGGAGUGAGCCCAAUGACCCUAGGGUGGCGCACCAGCCCUUAGUGGGCUGGUGAGGCCAUCCCAAUAGGGCGAUGGUGCCACAAGUGGAAAAACACCAAAGGAAAGGGGGGAAAAGGAAAGAGGGAGGUGGGAAGGAAGGAGUGGACUCAUUCCCCCAAACCGAAUUAGAGUGGGAGUCCACCUCCUCCCCUUUGGUCGGCGCACCUUGGGGCUCCUUGAGCCCCAAGGCUAGCCCCUCCCCUCCUCCUAUAUAUACUGGUGGUUUUAAGGCUUUUGAGACACAACUUUGCCACGUGCAACUCAAAUCUAUACCACGUAGUUUUACCUCUAUAUCGGAUUUCUACGGAGCUCGGGCGGAGCCCUGCAGGAGUAGAUCAUCACCACCACCGGAGAGCUGCCACACUGCCGGAGAACUCAUCUACUUCUCCAUCUCUCUUGCUGGAUCAAGAAGGCCGAGAUCGUCAUCGAGCUGUACGUGUGCUGAAUGCGGAGGUGCCGUCCGUUUGGCGCUAGAUCGAAACAGAUCAUGGGACGGAUCGUGGGACGACGGUGAUUUGAAUCACGAAGCUAUACCACUACAUCAACCACGUUUCUUAACGCUUCCCGCUUAGCGAUCUACAAGGGUACGUAGAUCUAAUCUCCUCUUGUAGAUGGACAUCACCAUGAUAGGUCUUCGUGUGCGUAGGAAAAUUUUUGUUUCGCAUGCAACGUUCCCCAACAAUGGCAUCAUGAGCUAGGUUCAUGCGUAGAUGUUAUCUCGAGUAGAACACAAAAGGUUUUGUGGAUGUUGAUGUUCGAUUUGCUGCCCUCCUUAUUCUUUUCUUGAUUUCGUGGUAUUGUUGGAUUGAAGCGGCCCGGACCGACAUUACUCGUAUGCUUACGAGAGACUGGUUUCAUCGACUCACAUGCAACUCGUUGCAUAAAGAUGACUAGCGGGUGUCGGUUUCUUCAACUUUAGUUGAAUUGGUUUUAACCGAGGCGGUCCUUGGAGAGAGGUUAAAUAGCAAUUUGCACAUCUCCGUUGUGGUUUUUGCGUAAGUAAGAUGCGAUCAUACUAGAUACCUAUAGCAGCCACGUAAAACAUGCAACAACAAAUUAGAGGACGUCUAACUUGUUUUUGCAGGGUAUGCUUGUGAUAUGAUAUGGCCAAUGACGUGAUGUGAUAUAUUGGAUGUAUGAGAUGAUCAUGUUGUAAUAGUUAAUAUCGACUUCCACGUCGAUGCUACGACAACCGACAGGAGCUAUAGGGUUGUCUUUAAACUAACAUUUGUGUUUGCAGAUGCGUUUACUAUAUUGCUAGGUCGUAGCUUUAGUAGUAAUAGCAUAGAUAGCAUGACAACUUCGAUGGCGGCACGAUGAUGGAGAUCAUGAUGAUGGAUAUCAUGGUGUGGCGCCGGUGACAAGAAGAUUAUGUCGGUGCUUUGGUGAUGGAGAUCAAGAAGCACAAGAUGAGGCCAUAUCAUGUCACUUAUGAAUUGCAUGUGAUGUUAAUCCUUUUAUGCACCUUAUUUUGCAUAGAACGACGGUAGCAUUAUAAGGUGAUCUCUCACUAAAAUUUCAAGAUGAAAUUGUGUUCUCCCCGACUGUGCACCGUGGCGACAAUUCGUCGUUUCGAGACACCACGUGAUGAUCGGGUGUGAUCGACUCAACGUUCACAUACAACGGGUCCAAAACAGUUGCACACGUGGAACACUCGUGUUAAACUUGACGAGCCUAGCAUGUGCAGACAUGGCCUCGGAACACAUGAGACCGAAAGGUCGAGCAUGAAUCGUAUAGUUGAUAUGAUCAGCAUAGAGAUGCUUACCACUAAAACUAUUCUCAACUCACGUGAUGCUCGGACUUGAGUUAGUGAAUUUGGAUCAUGUACCACUCAAAUGACUAGAGAUAUGUAAUUUUUGAGUGGGAGUUUAUUAGUAAUUUGAUUAGUUAAACUCUAAUUAUCUUAAACAUAGUCUAAGUCCACUUUGCAAUAUUUGUGUUGUAGAUCAAUGGCUCACGCAGUAGCAACCCUGAAUUUUAAUACGUUCCUAGAGAAAGCUAAGUUGAAAGAUGAUGGAAGCAACUUUGUAGACUGGGCUCGUAAUCUAAAGCUGCUCCUACAAGCUGGGAAGAAGGAUUGUGUCCUUAAUGCUGCGCUAGGAGAUGAACCACCCGCUACGUCUAGCCAAGAUGUUUUGAACGAGUGGUUAACACGUAAGGAGGACUACUCAGUAGUUCAAUGUGUAGUCUUGUAUGGCUUGGAACCGGGACUUCAACGUCACUUUGAGCGUCAUGGAGCAUAUGAGAUACUAGAGCAGUUGAAGUUUAUCUUUUAGAAGAACGCACAGAUCGAGAGGUAUGAGACCUUCGAUAAAUUAUAUGCUUGCAAGAUGGAGGAGAAUUCGUCUGUUAGUGAACAUGUGCUCAAAAUGUCUGGAUACUCAAACCGUCUAGCUGAGCUGGGGAUUGAACUCCCACAAGAGGCUAUCACUGAUAGAAUUAUUCAAUCACUGCCACCUAGCUAUAAGAGCUUUGUGUUGAACUAUAACAUGCAAGGGAUGAACAAGUCACCUCGCGAGUUAUUCGCGAUGCUGAAAGUCACAGAGUCAGAACUCCGGAAAGAGCAUCAAGUGUUGAUGGUCAAUAAGACCACUGGUUUCAAGAGAAACGACAAAGGCAAGAAGGGUAACUCCAAGAAGAGCGGCAAGCCUGUUGCCAAUCCGACGAAGAAACCCAAGGAUGGACCUAAGCCUGAAACAGAGUGUUACUAUUGCAAGGGAAUGGGUCACUAGAAGCGCAACUGCCCCAAGUAUUUGGCUGAUAAGAAGGCGGCCAAGGAAAAAUCAGGUAUAUUUGAUAUAGAUGUUAUUGAUGUGUACUUAACCAACUCUCGUAGUAGUGCCUGGGUAUUUGAUACGGGUUCUGUUGCUCAUAUUUGCAACUCGAAGCAGGAACUGCGGAAUAAACAAAGGAUGGCGAAAGGACGAAGUGACGAUGCGCGUGGGAAAUGGUUCCAAGGUUUAUGCAAUCGCCGUCGGCAUAGUCUCACUUCAGUUACCAUCAGGAUUAGUUAUGAACUUAAAUAAUUUUUAUUUAGUGCCUGCGUUAAGCAUGAACAUUAUAUAUGGAUCUUGUUUAUUGCGAGACGGUUACUCGUUUAAGUCAGAGAAUAAUGGUUGUUCUAUUUCUAUGAGUAAUAUCUUUUAUGGUCAUGCACCCAAUGUGUGACGAUUGUUCAUAUUGAAUCUUGAUAGCAAUGAUACACAUAUACAUAACAUUGAGACCAAAAGAUGUAGAGUUAACAAUGAUAGCGCCAUGUUUUUGUGGCACUGCCGCUUAGGUCAUAUUUGUGUAAAGCGCAUGAAGAAACUCCAUUCCGAUGGGCUUUUGGAGUCACUUGAUUUUGAAUCACUUGACACGUGCGAACCAUGCCUCAUGGGCAAGAUGACUAAGACUCCGUUCUCCGGAACAAUGGAGCGUGCAAGUGACUUGCUGGAAAUCAUACAUACCGAUGUGUGCGGUCCGAUGAGUGUGGAGGCGCGCGGCGGAUAUCGUUAUUUUCUCACCUUCACUGACGAUUUGAGUAGGUAUGGAUAUAUCUACUUGAUGAAGCACAAGUCUGAAACGUUUUAGAAGUUCAAGGAAUUUCAGAGUGAAGUUGAAAAUCAUCGUAACAAGAAGAUCAAGUUCCUACGUUCUGAUCGUGGGGGUGAAUAUCUGAGUUUCGAGUUUGGUGCUCACCUAAGACAAUGUGGAAUUGUUUCACAGUCAACACCGCCUGGAACACCACAACGUAAUGGUGUGUCCGAACGUCGUAAUCGUACUUUGUUAGAAAUGGUGCGACCUAUGAUGUCUCUUACCGAUUUGCCGUUAUCGUUUUGGGGUUAUGCAUUAGAGACAACUGCAUUCACUUUAAAUAGGGCACCAUCAAAAUCCGUUGAGACGACACCAUACGAGCUGUAGUAUGGCAAAAGACUAAAGUUGUCGUUUCUUAAAGUUUGGGGAUGUGAUGCUUAUGUCAAAAAACUUCAGCCUGAAAAGCUGGAACCCAAAGCGGAAAAGUGCGUCUUCAUAGGUUACCCAAAGGAGACAGUUGGGUACACCUUCUAUCUCAAAACCGAGGGCAAAGUGUUUGUUGCUAAGAACGGAGCUUUUCUUGAGAAGGAGUUUCUCUCGAAAGAAUUGAGUGGGAGGAAGAUAGAACUUGAUGAGGUUGUCGAACCUCUAAUCCCUCUAGAUGGUGGCACAAGGCAGGGGAACCUUUGUCGAAGCGAUGCCGGUUGAGGAGGAAGUUAAUGAUGAUGAUCAUGAAACUUCGGAUCAAGUUCCUAUCGGACCUCGCAGGUCGACAAGAUCACGUACUACUCCUGAGUGGUACGGUAAUAUUGGCUUAUCAAUCAUGUUGUUAGACAACAAUGAACCUGCGAAUUAUGAAGAAGCAAUGGUGGGCCCGGAUUCCAACAAAUGGCUGGAGGCCAUGAAGUACGAUAUAGGAUCUAUGUAUGAAAACAAAGUGUGGACUUUGGAAGUAUUACCUGAAGGCCGCAAGGCUAUUCAGAACAAAUGGAUCUUUAAGAAGAAGACGGACGCAUACGGUAAUGUGACCGUUUAUAAAGCUCGACUUGUGGCAAAGGGUUUUUCACAAGUUCAAGGAGUUGACUACGAUGAGACAUUCUCACCGGUAGCGAUGCUUAAGUCCGUCGGAAUCAUGUUAGCAAUAGCUACAUAUUUCGAUUAUGAAAUCUGGCAGAUGGAUGUCAAAACGGCGUUCCUUAACGGUUUUCUUAAGGAAGAGUUGUAUAUGAUGCAACACGAAGGUUUUGUCGAUCCAGAGAAUGCUAGCAAAGUAUGCAAGCUCCACCGAUCCAUUUAUGGACUGGUGCAAGCAUCUCGGAGUUGGAAUAAGCGCUUUGAUGAGGUGAUCAAAGCAUUUGGGUUUACACAAGUGGUUGGAGAAUCUUGUAUUUACAAGAAAGUGAGUGGGAGCUUUGUGGCAUUUCUAAUAUUACAUUUAUAUUUGGAUGACAUAUUGCUGAUUGCAAAUGACGUGGGGUUUUUUGGAGAGCGUAAAGGAUUACUUGAAUAAAAGUUUCUCUAUGAAGGACCUAGGAGAAGCUGCUUACAUUCUAGGCAUUAAGAUCUAGAGGGAUAGAUCGAGAUGUCUGAUAGGACUUUCACAAAGCACAUACCUUGAUAAAGUUUUGAAGAAGUUCAAAAUGGAACAGUCCAAGAAGGGGUUCUUGUCAGUGUUACAAGGUAUAAAAUUGAGUAAGACUCAGUGCCCAGCAACUGCGGAAGAUAGAGAACAGAUGAGUUCCGUCCCCUAUGCUUCAGUCAUAGGUUUUGUCAUGUAUGCAAUGUUAUGCACUAGACCGGACGUCAGCUUGGCCAUAAGUAUGGCAGGCAGGUUUCAAAGUAAUCCAGGAGUGGAUCACUGGAUGACGGUCAAUAAUAUUCUGAAGUACCUUAAAAGGACUAAGGAAAUGUUUCUCGUUUAUGGAGGUGACGAAGAGCUCGUCGUAAAGGGUUACGUCGACGCAAGCUUUGACACUAAUCCGGAUGACUCUAAGUCUCAAACCAGAUACAUAUUUAUUCUUAAUGGGGGUGCGGUAAGCUGGUGCAGUUCCAAGCAAAGCAUCAUAGCAGAUUCUACAUGUGAAGCGGAGUACAUGGUUGCCUCAGAGGCAGCUAAGGAGGGUGUCUGGAUGAAGCAGUUCAUGAGGGAUCUUGGAGUUGUGCCGAGCGCACUAAAUCCAAUAACUAUGUUCUGUGACAACACUGGUGCCAUUGCUUUAGCAAAGAAACCAAGGUUUCACAAGAAGACCAGGCACAUCAAACGACGCUUCAACCUCAUCCACGACUACGUCGAAGGAGAGGACGUAAAUAUUUGCAAAGUGCACACGGAUCUGAAUGUAGCAGAUCCGCUGACUAAACCUCUUCCACGGGCAAAACAUGAUCAACACCAGAAAUGUAUGGGUGUUAGAUUUAUUACAAUGUAAAUCGCAUGGCGAUGUGAGGACUAGAUUAUUGACUCUAGUGCAAGUGGGAGACUGUUGGAAAUAUGCCCUAGAGGCAAUGAUAAAAUAGUUAUUACUAUAUUUCCUGUUUUAAGAUAAUCGUUUAUUAUCCAUGCUAUAAUUGUAUUGAAUGAAAACAUAGAUACAUAUGUGGAUACAUAGACAAAACAAUGUCCCUAGCAAGCCUCUACUUGGCUAGCCAGUUGAUGAAGGAUGGUCAAGGUUUUCUGACCAUAUGCAAAUGUUGUCACUUGAUAACUGGAUCACAUCAUUAGGAGAAUCAUGUGAUGGACUAGACCCAAACUAUAAACGUAGCAUGUGAUCGUGUCAUUUUGUUGCUAUUGUUUUCUGUGUGUCAAGUAUUUAUUCCUAUGACCAUGAGAUCAUAUAACUCACUGACACUAGAGGAAUACCUUGUGUGUAUAAAACGUGGCAACGUAACUGGGUGACUAUAAAGGUGCUCUACAAGUAUCUCCGAAGGUGUCUGUUAGUUAGUAUGGAUCAAGACUGGGAUUUGUCACUCCGUGUGACGGAGAGGUAUCUCGGGGCCCACUCGAUAAUACAACAUCACAAACAAGCCUUGAAAGCAAUGUGACUAAGUGUAAGUCACAGGAUCUUGUAUUACGGAACGAGUAAAGAGACUUGCCGGUAACGAGAUUGAAAUAGGUAUACGGAUACCGACGAUCGAAUCUUGGGCAAGUAACAUACGGAAGGACAAAGGGAAUGACAUACGGGAUUAUAUGAAUCCCUGGAACUGAGGUUCAACCGAUAAGAUCUUCGGAGAAUAUGUAGGACCCAAUAUGGGCAUCCAGGUCCCGCUAUUGGAUAUUGACCGAGGAGUGUCUCGGGUCAUGUCUACAUAGUUCUCGAACCCGCAGGGUCUGCACACUUAAGGUUCGAUGAUGUUUUAGUAUAGUUGAGUUAUAUGUGUGGUUGCUGAAUGUUGUUCAGAGUCCCGGAUAAGAUCACAGACGCCACGAGGGUUUCCAGAAUGGUCCGGAAACAAAGAUUGAUAUAUAGGAUGGUUUCAUUUGGUCAUCGGAAAGUUUCGGGCGUUACGACAGUGUACCCGGAGUGACGAAUGGGUUUCGGGUAUUCACUGGGAGGGGCCCACCCACUCGAGAGUGAGCCGAGUGACCCUAGGGUGGUGCACCAGCCCUUAGUGGGCUGGUGAGGCCAGCCCAAUAGGGCCAUGGCACCACAAGUGGAAAAACACCAAAGGAAAGGAAAAAAGGACAGAGGGAGGUGGGAAGGAAGGUGUGGACUCCUUCCCCCAAACCGAAUUGGGGUGGGAGUCCACCUCCUCCCCUUCAAUCGACGCAGCUUGGGGCUCCUUGAUCCCCAAGGCUAGCCCCUCCCCUCCUCCUAUAUAUACUGGUGGUUUUAGGGCUUUUGAGACACAACUUUGCCACCUGCAACUCAAACCUAUACCACAUAGUUUUACCUCUAGAUCGGAUUUCUGCGGAGCUCGGGCGGAGCCGUGCAGGAGUAGAUCAUCACCACCACCAGAGCGCCGUCACGCUGCCGGAGAACUCAUCUACUUCUCCGUCUCUCUUGCUCGAUCAAGAAGGUCGAGAUCGUCAUCGAGCUGUACGUGUGCUGAACACGGAGGUGUCGUCCGUUCGGCGCUAGAUCGGAACGGAUCGUGGGACAGAUCGUGGGAUGACGGUGAUUUGAAUCACGAAGUUGUACCACUACAUCAACCGCAUUUCUUAACGCUUUCUACUUAGCGAUCUACAAGGGUACGUAGAUCUAAUCUCCUCUCGUAGAUGGACAUCACCAUGAUAGGUCUUCGUGUGCGUAGGAAUUUUUUGUUUCCCAUGCAACCUUCCCCAACAGUGGCAUCAUGAGCUAGGUUCAUGCGUAGAUGUUAUCUCGAGUAGAACAAAAGGUUUUGUGGACGUUGAUGUUCGAUUUUCUGCCCUCCUUAGUCUUUUCUCGAUUCGGCAGUAUUGUUGGAUUGAAGCGGCCCGGACCGACAUUACUCGUACGCUUACGAGAGACUGGUUUCAUCGACUGACAUGCAACUCGUUGCAUAAAGAUGACUAGCGGGUGUCGGUUUCUUCAACUUUAGUUGAAUUGGUUUUGACCGAGGCGGUCCUUGGAGAGAGGUUAAAUAGCAAUUUGCACAUCUCCGUUGUGGUUUUUGCGUAAGUAAGAUGCAAUCAUACUACAUACCCAUAGCAGCCACGUAAAACAUGCAACAACAAAUUAGAGGACGUCUAACUUGUUUUUGAAGGGUAUGCUUGUGAUAUGAUAUGGCCAAUGACGUGAUGUAAUAUAUUGGAUGUAUGACAUGAUCAUGUUGUAAAAGUUAAUAUCUACUUGCACGUCGAAUCUACGGUAACCAGCAAAAGCCAUAGGGUUGUCUUUAAACUAAUGUUUGUGUUUGCAGAUGCGUUUACUAUAUUGCUAGGUUGUAGCUUUAGUAGUAAUAGCAUAGAUAUCACGACAACCUCAAUGGCGGCACGAUGAUGGAGAUCAUGAUGAUGGAGAUCAUGGUGUGGCGCCGGUGACAAGAAGAUCAUGUUGGUGCUUUGGUUAUGGAGAUCAAGAAGCACAAGAUGAUGGCAUGUCACUUAUGAAUUGCAUGUGAUGUUAAUCCUUUUAUGCACCUUAUUUUGCUUAGAACGACGGUAGUAUUAUAAGGGGAUCUCUUACUAAAAUUUCAAGAUGAAAUUGUGUCUCCCCGACUGUGCACCGUUGCGACAGUUCAUCAUUUCGAGACACCACGUGAUGAUCGGGUGUGAUAGACUCAACGUUCACAUACAACGGGUCCAAAACAGUUGCACAAGCGGAACACUCGGGUUAAACUUGACAAGCCUAGAAUGUGCAGACAUGGCCUCGGAACACAUGAGACCGAAAGGUCGAGCAUGAAUCGUAUAGUUGAUAUGAUUAGCAUAGAGAUGCUUACCACUGAAACUAUUCUCAACUCACGUGAUGAUCGGACUUGAGUUAGUGAAUUUGGAUCAUGUACCACUCAAAUGACUAGAGAGAUGUACUUUUUGAGUGGGAGUUUAUCAGUAAUUUGAUUAGUUAAACUCUAAUUAUCUUAAACAUAGUCUAAGUUCACUUUGCAAUAUUUGUGUUGUAGAUCAAUGGCUCACGCAGUAGCAACCCUGAAUUUUAAUACGUUCCUAGAGAAAGCUAAGUUCAAAGAUGAUGGAAGCAACUUUGUAGACUAGGCUCGUAAUCUAAAGUUGCACCUGCAAGCUGGGAAGAAGGAUUAUGUCCUUAAUGUUGCGCUAGGAGAUGAACCACCCGCUAUGUCUAGCCAAGAUGUUUUGAACGCCUGGUUAACACGUAAGGAGGACUACUCAAAAGUUCAAUCUGUAGUCUUGUAUGGCUUGGAACCGGGACUUCAAUGUCGCUUUGAGCAUCAUGGAGCAUAUGAGAUGUUCCAGGAGUUGAAGUUUAUCUUUCAUAAGAACGCCCAGAUCGAGAGGUAUGAGACCUCCGAUAAAUUCUAUGCUUGCAAGAUGGAGGAGAAUUCGUAUGUCAGUGAACAUGUGCUCAAAAUGUUUGGGUACUCAAAUCGUCUAGCUGAGCUGGGGAUUGAACUCCCGCAAGAGGCUAUCACUGACAAAAUUCUUCAAUCAUUGCCACCUAGCUAUAAGAGCUUUGGGUUGAACUAUAACAUGCAAUGGAUGAACAAGUCACCUGACGAGUUAUUCGCGAUGCUGAAAGUCGCAGAGGCGGAACUCCGAAAAGAGCAUCAAGUGUUGAUGGUCAAUAAGACCACUGGUUUCAAGAGAAACGGCAAAGGCAAGAAGGGUAACUCCAAGAAGAGUGGCAAGCGUGUUGCCAAUCCGACGAAGAAACCCAAGGCUGGACCUAAUCCUGAAACAGAGUGUUAUUAUUGGGAAUGGGUCACUGGAAGCGCAACUGCCCCAAGUAUUUGGCUGAUAAGAAUGCGGCCAAGGAAAAAUUAGGUAUAUUUGAUAUACAUGUUAUUGAAGUGUACUUAACCAACUCUCGUAGUAGUGCAUGGGUAUUUGAUACCGGUUCUGUUGCUCAUAUUUGCAACUCGAAGCAGGAACUGCGGAAUAAACGAAGGCUGGCGAAGGAUGAAGUGACGAUGCGCGUGGGAAAUGGUUCCAAGGUUGAUGCAAUCGCCGUUGGCAUAGUCUCACUUCAGUUACCAUCAGGAUUAGUUAUGAACUUAAAUAAUUGUUAUUUAGUGUCUGUGUUAAGCAUGAACAUUAUAUUUGGAUCUUGUUUAUUGCACCGUCCGGGAAUCGCAGGGGCGGCGAGAGAGUUUGGUUGUGGAUGUGAUGAUGGCGGGGGUGAGCUUGGAUUGUGUUAUUCAUUAUCUCUUCAUAGGUUGCAGGCUUCGAGGGUCCGUGACGUGGUCGCCGGAGCGAGAGGGUAUCGGGUUCCCCUCUACGAUGCCAACGGUAUACCUUUUGGUAGGAGCCAUGUGCUUUGGAGAUUCAAGUUCUCGCGUUUGACCUGCUCAUAGUUGUGCCCCUUGCUUCUGUGACUAUGACCGGUAGCUCUCGCCCUUCGGUGUGUCUACGCCACAGACGACGACGAUGCUCGUGAGUACCGUGUCCCGGGCUUGUGGGUGUGCUCUACUUACUUCUUCCUAUUCAGCUUGGAUGCCAACCAUUUGGGUUCUAGGGUGAACCAAGCUGUCGGAUGUCGGUGCUGCAUCCUUUGAGCCAGGAUGAAAGGGAAGGUUCCCUUUGCAGCGGCGGUAACAAAUGGUGGUCUGGUCCAUUUCUGUCUUCGAGGGUGGUUGUGAUCACGAAGCUUGCGCGAUUAUGCAUUCUUCCCUAGCACAGAGUUUAGUUUUGUUGGUGUAGGUCGUCCUGUAGGAUGUUAGCUGCAGUGUGGUGAUGUUUCGGCCCGCUUUUGUUGUUGCCUUCAGUAGUUGUGGCCUUUAUGAACUUGUGGCGUUUCAUGGCCGCAAAAUCUAAGUACUGAAUAGGAAGAAUAGGGUCACUAGACUGCGAUGACACACUACACUUAGAUAAACGGGAGGCAUAAAUCCUGCCAUAAAAAUGGCCGCUGUCAGAGUUGCAUUGCAAUGUGCAUGCUAGGAUUGCUCCAAGAUUAUAGCAUUUAAUUACAGUUAGCACAAUAUGUAGGAGACUCAAGUCUGGGGCACAUAAGGUACUACAAUCCUGCUUGCCCACUAUGCAUUUUCCAUUAAAGAGUGCAAGGUAACAAAUUGAAGGAGUAUGCAUGCUAUUUAUUCUACCUUUAGUUACUCCCCUAUCCUCACUAAAGCAAAGACUAGUUAAAAAUGCAUCAUAUUUGGAUUUUGGUGGUUCGCCUAGAGAACCCCAAGAUGGAAUUUUACAUGCAUGAGAUAAAUCAUCUAGAGACAAGGUGAAGGCAUUAUCAUAGAGGUUAAAGGAGACUCUAAAUCUUCGAGGAUAAAAUUUAAACCCCUUAGUGAAAGUUUUGGUAUGAUAAUGUUGCGCGCACUUAUCUGAGAUGAAGGGUGCGAGAUCAGUAUUAUGAAUGUAUUGUUCAAACUCUUCCCUAAUGCCCGCGCACAACAUGAAGCCAUCACUUGGCCAAAGGCACGAUUUGGUGUGGGCUUCUCGCAUCAAGCUUUCACUUGGCUCAGCAUAAGACCGUUGUAUCGGAGCCUCACUCGAAGAUGCCUCCGAGGACUUCCUCCUCAAAGAAUUCCUCUUGAACCAUCUCAUUAUUCCUAUGUACAAAUUUUUGAAUUUUUUGGGUCACAACAUAAAGUUAACAAAACUUCACAAGAAUGAUUGCAACUACUCAUAAGGAUGCCUAGAGCCUAAAACAAGCAUUCAAACUACUUGGAACUUCAAGAAUUUGACAUGCAAGCUCAUCUACAGCAGCACCUAGAGUAUCUAAUUACUUCUUAGAUAAACUACUAAAUCAAGAACUAAUUCGAGGAGUGGGGAAGUUUCAUACCAAGGAGUAAUCCCCCAAAACAGUUUCAGAAAUGGAGUUUCGAGCAAAGAGAUCAAAACCCGCGAGUUUGAGAGCAAGAACACGGGAGAGAGAGAUACAAGGAUUUUUCGUGGAGGUAGGUCAUGAAGUGAGCUGAAGGGAUAAGUGAGGGGACCCCGAGGGGUCCACUACCCACUAGGGCGCGCCUCGUGGGGGUGGCGCGCCUCGUGGGGGUGGCGCGCCCUGGUGUCUAGUGGACACCUCGGACACCCCCCCUGUGAUGUUUUUAGUGCCACAUAUUCUCAAAUAUUCAGAAAAAAAAUCAUGUGAAAGUUUCAGGUCAUUUGGAGAACUUUUAUUUUGGGCACUUUUUAUUGCACAAAAGAUUUUAAAAAAAAGAUAAGCAUGGCAUUUAUUGUAUUUAAAUAAAAAUAACAUGAAAAUAAAGUGGGUAUAGAAAGUUGUGCCUACUAAAUUCAUCGACCUCAUGCCUCUCGAAAAUGAUCCAUUAACAAGGUUGAUCAAGUCUUAUUAACAACCACUUCCAAUUAGCAUGAACCCGAAGAAUUUUCGUAAAACACUAAGUUACCUCAACGGGGAUGUGCAUAUCCCCAACAAUAAGUAUUUCAUAUUUAUUUUUGGUUGUAGGUAGAGGUAGUUGAAAACUUCCAUUGGUUAUAGUCGGAGAUUUUUCAAUAACAUUAACACCAUUCACUUGGAAUUGUUUCCUCGGAAAAUGCACUGUAUGUUCUUUACCAUUGACAUGUUAAGUGACUUUGCUUUUAUUGCAAUCAAUAAUAUCCCGUGUAGUAUUUAAGAAAGGUCUACGAAGGAUAAUCGACAUGUUGUCAUCCUCAUGCAUAUCAAGUAUAACAAAGUCUGUCAAGAUAGUAACAUUUGCAACAACAACGGGUACAUCCUCACAAAUACCAAUAGGUAUGGCACUUGAUUUGUCACCCAUUUGCAAUGAAAUUUCAGUAGGUGUGAGUUUAUUCAAGUCAAGUCUUUUGAAUAAAGAGACAUGCAUAAUACUAACACCACCUCCUAGAUCACAUAAAGCAGUUUUCACAUAGUUUCUUUUGAUGGAACAUGGUACAGUUGGUAUUCCUGGAUCUCCUAGUUUUUUUGGUACUCCAUCCUUAAAAUAGUAAUUAGCAAGCAUGAUGUAGAUUUGAGAUUCAAGUAUUUUCCUUUUAUUAGUGAUGAUACCUUUCAUAUACUUAGCAUAAGGGGGCAUAUUUAAAAGAUCAGUUAAACGAGUACGCAAAAGACUGGCUUAAGCAUUUCAGCAAAGCGUUCAAAUUCUUCAUCAUCUUUUUUCUUAGUUGGUUUAGGUGGAUAAGGCAUGCAUUUUUGAACCCAUGGCUCUCUUUCUUUGACAUGCUUUCUAGCAAAAAAAUCUCUUAGGUUGUGGGUUAUCAAGAUCAACAAUAGGGUUUGUCUCAACAUCAUUAUCUGGUUCUUUAUCAUUAUUAGGUUGAGCAUGUACAUGAGCAUCAUCAUUAUCAUUUUCAUUAUCACUAGGUGAAUGCUCACUACCAUAUUGAGUUUCAGCAUCACAAAUAGAGAUAUCAUUUGCAUUAUCAGAAGGUUUUUCCGCUUCAGGUUCACUAGAAGUAUGCAAGAUCCUAUCAUUUUUCUUUUUAUUUUUCCUCCUAGAAGGACUAGGUGUAUCAAUAUUAAUUCUUUGUAAAUCUUGUUCAUUUCUUUUAGGAUGGCCUUCUGGAUAUAGUGGAUCUUGAGUCAUUGUUCCUCCUCUAGUCAUUACUCUAACAACAUGAUCAUUCAUAUUAUUAUUCAUUUCAUGAAGUAGCUCACUUUGGGAUUUAGCAACUUGUUAUAGUUGGGUUUGAACCAUAGAAGCAUGUGAAAAGGACGUGGAUGUCGCCUAGAGGGGGGGUGAAUAGGCGCUUUAAAAUAGUUAAGGUUUAGGCUUGAACAAAUGCGGAAUAAAACUAACGUUUAAUAUGUCAAGCACAAAACCCAAAAAACAACUAGGCUCACCUAUGUGCACCAACAACUUAUGCUAAGCAAGAUAAACAACUAAGUGAUAGCAAGAUAUAUUACAAUAAACAAUAUGUCUAUCACAAAGUAAAGUGCAUAAGUAAAUGGUUCGGGUAAGAGAUAACCGAGGCACGGGGAGACGAUGAUGUAUCCCAAAGUUCACACCCUUGCGGAUGCUAAUCUCCGUUAGAGCGGUGUGGAGGCACAAUGCUCCCCAAGAUGCCACUAAGGCCACCGUAAUCUCCUCACGCCCUCGCACAAUGCAAGGUGCCGUAAUUCCACUAAGGGACCCUUGAGGGCGGUCACCGAACCCGUACAAAUGGCAACCCUUGGGGGUGGUCACCGAACCCGUACAUGUGGCAACCCUUGGGGGCGGUUACCGGUACCCGUACAAAUUGCUCGGGGCAAUAUCCACAACCUAAUUGGAGACCCCGACGCUUCCCGGAGCUUCACACCACACUGAUUGAGCUCCGAGACACCACCAAGCUUCUAGGACGCCAAAGCAUCCACGAAGAACAAUAUCAAGGGUACUAAGUACCAAAGGUAGCAAGCUUCUCAACUUCUCACUUCCACGUAUCACCGUGGAGAACUCAAACCGAUGCAACUAAUGCAAUGGCAAGAACACACGAAGUGGUCAAGUCCCUCACACUCAAAUCCCUCCACAACACCAAAAGCUAUGGAGAAAUAUGAGAGGAAGAACAAGGAGCUCACAAAGAACUCCAAGAUCAAGAUCCAAGGGGUUCCCCUCACAUAGAGGAGAAAGUGAUUGGUGGAGAUGUGGAUCUAGAUCUCCUCUCUCUUUUCCCUCAAGAACAAGCAAGAAUCAUUGGAGGGAUAGAGAGUAAUCAAGCUCUAAGAAUGUCAACAAUGGAGGUAGAACAAGAGCUCAACGGAUGGAUAAGACCAAGGGGGAAGAAGACCCCCUUUAUAUAGUGGGGGAAAGAAUCAGACUGUUACCCCCACUCUCUGCCCGAGCUCCAGCGGUACUACCGCUGGCUGCAGCGGUACUAGUGGGGGAAAGAAUCAGACUGUUACCCCCACUCUCUGCCCGAGCUCCAGCGGUACUACCGCUGGCUGCAGCGGUACUACCGCUGGCACUCCAGCGGUACUACCGCCAGCUAGCGGUACUACCGCUGGCUGCAGCGGUACUACCGAUGGCACUCCAGCGGUACUACCGCUGGCCCCAGCGGUACUACCGCUGGGCCCCUGGUAGUGCAAGGGCACUACCACCGCGAAGAAAGUCUUCACAAAAAGGUCCGUCCACGAACAACCGCUAGGCAGGCGGUACUAAGAUCCUGGAGCGGUACUACCGUUGACCAGGGGCGGUACUACCGCUAGGGCCAGCGGUACUACCGCCAACUCUAGCGGUACUACCGCUAGGUCCAGCGGUACUACCGCUCGCCACUGAAACAACCAUAACUUUUGCAUACGAGCUCCGAAUCGAGCAAACCCAAGCUUGUUGGAUUCAGGACGACAAGGGCUAUCCAAACAGCGACCCAAGCUUGUUNNNNNNNNNNNNNNNNNNNNNNNNNNNNNNNNNNNNNNNNNNNNNNNNNNNNNNNNNNNNNNNNNNNNNNNNNNNNNNNNNNNNNNNNNNNNNNNNNNNNGGAUGGGAGGGGGGGGGGAGGGCGCGACGACGACGGCUAGGGUUAUCGCCUUAGAGGAGACGACGCGGGGAGGGGUGAGGGGAGUGUGUGAAUCACCAUCAUUAGCAAUGACAUAUGUGACACAUUAGUAAAAGAAUAAAAUCCACACCCGCCUUUCUUUUUUUUGAGCCGGUGUGCUCGUCGCCGUGGCACCACCUAUUUCUGCUCCGGGCGAAGUGGCUGUGCACGAGUCCAUCACGUCACGUCACGCACGCGGGGCGCGCGGCCAGGCUGUGCUGGGAGCUUCGUCCCCCUCCACUCCCGUCAGCUCCCCCGGCCCUCCCCCCGCCCCGCCCCGCCCCGCCCCCACUCCGCCGCCGACGUAAGCACCACCCAGCAGCCUCCCCUCCCCUCAAGAUCCAAGCCACGCUCGCCCGCUCGCCCCGCGCAAUGCCCCGCUCCUGACCAUGUCCUCGCUCUCGAUCCCGCCUCCGCUCCUGCGCUCCUCGCCGUCUCCGUCUCCACCCGCGAAUUGGAGGAGGCGCGCGGCGCGCGUGCGGGUGCGCGCUCCGGUGGCGGCACUGGCCGGCGACGGCGGGUGCGCGGGGACCGGGAUGGAGCAGCAGCACCUCCAGGCAGGGAGCGCCUCCGGCAGCCCAG
rnacentral:lncRNA from 1 species